rnacentral:tmRNA from 1 species
GGGGGUGACAGGCUUCGAUCUGGGUUUGUCGUGGUAGAAGUGGCAUGUGGAGGUUUCAGGUGGCCUCCUUAAAAACCUGAACAUUUACAGACGCCAACUACAAUCCAGUAGCAGAGGCCGAGGCUAUCUUGGCUUCUGAGGCAGUCGUUGCCUAACUAAAGGCAACAAAUCCUUUUGCCUUGCCUGCGGGGUGAAAGGAUUUCGUAAGCAGGAUAGUCCCGAUUUUUUGCUUUUGAGAAUCGGGACGAAAGCAAAAAAAGCUUUUCUUUCUCAAAUCCCGUUUACCGGAGUUGAAAAAGAGAACUUAAGAAGGUAAAAUAAACAUGUAGAGGCUUUUGUUGCGAAAUCCAGGGACGUGGGUUCGAAUCCCACCACCUCCACCA